GACGAACGCUGGCGGCGUGCUUAACACAUGCAAGUCAAACGGAAAGGCCCUGCUUGCAGGGUGCUCGAGUGGCGAACGGGUGAGUAACACGUGGGUGAUCUGCCCCUUACUUUGGGAUAAGCCUGGGAAACUGGGUCUAAUACUGGAUAGGACCAUGCUGUAGGUGGUGUGGUGGAAAGAUUAGUUUCGGUAAGGGAUGAGCUCGCGGCCUAUCAGCUUGUUGGUGGGGUAAUGGCCUACCAAGGCGUCGACGGGUAGCCGGCCUGAGAGGGUGGACGGCCACAUUGGGACUGAGAGACGGCGCAGACUCCUACGGGAGGCAGCAGAGGGGAAUAUUGCACAAUGGGCGCAAGCCUGAUGCAGCGACGCCGCGUGGGGGAUGACGGCCUUCGGGUUGUAAACUCCUUUCAGCCAUGACGAAGCGCUUGUGGUGACGGUAGUGGUAGAAGAAGCACCGGCUAACUACGUG
rnacentral:rRNA from 1 species